rnacentral:rRNA from 1 species
UACGAAGGGGGCUAGCGUUGUUCGGAAUCACUGGGCGUAAAUGGCGCGUAGGCGGGCUGCCGCGUCCGGGGUGAAAUCCCACGGCUCAACCGUGGAACGGCCCCGGGUACGGGCGGCCUCGAGGAAGGUAGGGGCGUGCGGAACUGUGGGUGGAGCGGUGAAAUGCGUUGAUAUCCACAGGAACUCCGGUGGCGAAGGCGGCACGCUGGACCUUUUCUGACGCUGAGGCGCGAAAGCCAGGGGAGCGAACGGG